UACGUAGGGGGCAAGCGUUAUCCGGAUUUACUGGGUGUAAAGGGAGCGUAGGUGGUCUGAUAAGUCAGAUGUGAAAGCCCGGGGCUCAACCCCGGGACUGCAUCUGAUACUAUCAGGCUUGAGUGCAGGAGAGGUAAGUGGAAUUCCUAGUGUAGCGGUGAAAUGCGUAGAUAUUAGGAGGAACACCAGUGGCGAAGGCGGCUUACUGGACUGUAACUGACACUGAGGCUCGAAAGCGUGGGGAGCAAACAGG
rnacentral:rRNA from 2 species